AAUAGAUACCCGGGUAGUCCACCCCGUAAACGUUGGGAACUAGUUGUGGGGUCCUUUCCACGGAUUCCGUGACGCAGCUAACGCAUUAAGUUCCCCGCCUGGGGAGUACGGCCGCAAGGCUAAAACUCAAAGGAAUUGACGGGGACCCGCACAAGCGGCGGAGCAUGCGGAUUAAUUCGAUGCAACGCGAAGAACCUUACCAAGGCUUGACAUACACGAGAACGGGCCAGAAAUGGUCAACUCUUUGGACACUCGUGAACAGGUGGUGCAUGGUUGUCGUCAGCUCGUGUCGUGAGAUGUUGGGUUAAGUCCCGCAACGAGCGCAACCCUCGUUCUAUGUUGCCAGCACGUAAUGGUGGGAACUCAUGGGAUACUGCCGGGGUCAACUCGGAGGAAGGUGGGGAUGACGUCAAAUCAUCAUGCCCCUUAUGUCUUGGGCUUCACGCAUGCUACAAUGGCCGGUACAAAGGGCUGCGAUACCGUAAGGUGGAGCGAAUCCCAAAAGCCGGUCCAGUUCGGAUUGAGGUCUGCAACUCGACCUCAUG
rnacentral:rRNA from 1 species